rnacentral:rRNA from 1 species
GACCUGGCCGGGCGGUCCGCCUCACGGUGUGUACUGUCUGGCCGGGUCUUACCUCUUGGUGAGCCGGCAUGCCCUUCGCUGGGUGUGCCGAGGAACCAGGACAUUUACCUUGAGAAAAUUAGAGUGUUCAAAGCAGGCUUAUGCCCGAAUACAUUAGCAUGGAAUAAUAAAAUAGGACGUGCGGUUCUAUUUUGUUGGUUUCUAGAGUCGCCGUA